GACGAACGCUGGCGGCGUGCUUAACACAUGCAAGUCGAACGAAGUGGCGAACGGGUGAGUAACGCGUAAUCAACCUGCCCUUCAGCGGGGGACAACAGGUGGAAACGACUGCUAAUCCCCCAUACUGACGGAGGGGGUUGCGUCUGUUGAGCUCGUUGGAGGGGUAACGGCCCACCAAGGCGAUGAUCAGUAGCCGGUGUGAGAGGAUGAACGGCGACAUUGGGACGGAGAAACGGCCCAGACGCCUACGGGAGGCAGCAGGGGGGAAUCUGCCGGAAUGGAGGAAAGUCUGACGGAGCAACUCCGCGUGAGUGAGGAGGGCCUUCGGGUUGUAAAGCUCUGUUAAUCGGGACGCGGUACCGGAAUAGAAAGCCACGGCUAACUACGUGCCAGCAGCCGCGGUAAUUC
rnacentral:rRNA from 1 species